GUGGGGAAUCUUCCGCAAUGGACGAAAGUCUGACGGAGCAACGCCGCGUGAGUGAAGAAGGUUUUCGGAUCAUAAAGCUCUUUCGUUAGGGACGAACGUGCUCUUUGUGAAUAAUGAGGAGUAAUGACGGUACCUAAAUAAGAAGCCACGGCUAACUACGUGCCAGCAGCCGCGGUAAUACGUAGGUGGCAAGCGUUGUCCGGAAUUAUUGGGCGUAAAGCGCGCGCAGGCGGGAUAUCAAGUCUGUCUUAAAAGUGCGAGGCUCAACCUCGUGAGGGGACAGAAACUGGUAUUCUUGAGUGUCGGAGAGGAAAGUGGAAUUCCAAGUGUAGCGGUGAAAUGCGUAGAGAUUUGGAAGAACACCAGUGGCGAAGGCGACUUUCUGGACGAUGUCUGACGCUGAGGCGCGAAAGCUAGGGGAGCGAACGGGAUUAGAUACCCGAGUAGUCC
rnacentral:rRNA from 1 species